GACGUAGGAGGCGAGCGUUGUCCGGAAUCAUUGGGCGUAAAGAGCUCGUAGGCGGCUCGGUAAGUCGGGUGUGAAACCCCCAGGCUCAACCUGGGGACGCCACCCGAUACUGCUGUGGCUAGAGUCCAGUAGGGGAGUGUGGAAUUCCCGGUGUAGCGGUGAAAUGCGCAGAUAUCGGGAGGAACACCAGCGGCGAAGGCGGCACUCUGGGCUGGAACUGACGCUGAGGAGCGAAAGCGUGGGUAGCAAACAGG
rnacentral:rRNA from 1 species